rnacentral:rRNA from 1 species
AGCUCCAAUCGCGUAUAUUAAAGUUGUUGCAGUUAAAAAGCUCGUAGUUGGAUCUCGGGUUGUCGGCGGGGGUUCAGGUUCAUGCCUGCUUACUCCUGUCGAUACCUAACCGGCGGGACGCUGUGGGUGCCCUUGGUUGGGUCGCCUACUGCACCCGCUCAAUUUACUUUGAAAAAAUUAGAGUGUUCAAGGCAGGCUCACACGCCUGUAUAAUGGUGCAUGGAAUAAUGGAAUAGGAUCUCGGUUCUAUUUUGUUGGUUUUCGGAACUAGAGAUAAUGAUUAAGAGGGACAGACGGGGGCAUUCGUAUUGCGGUGUUAGAGGUGAAAUUCUUGGAUCGCCGCAAGACGAACUACUGCGAAAGCAUUUGCCAAGAAUGUUUUCAUUAAUCAAGAACGAAA